rnacentral:sRNA from 1 species
AGUAUCAACACAAAGAAAAGAACAGCCAGAGUCAAUCUUGCGCUUGCUAAAUUGUAUCUCCAUGAUGGCAAAGACAGAUCGGCUAUCACUUGCUACAAAGAAUUAAUCAGAGAGCACCCCCUGGCACUUGAUGCCCUUACAAGUCUGUUAAGUCUGGGAAUGAGGGGAGUGGAUCUCAUGUCUUACAUUAUGAGCAGCAUACCACAGACUACUUGUGAAUGGCUAAACUGUUGGAUUAAAGGGCAAGCACGGAUGGCAUCUAAAGAAUAUAACAGUGCAAUAGCUACGUUUAGAUCCCUGGAACCUAAAGUUUGUAGAUGUUUGUUGUUUUGUAGAGUAUUUUAAAAGUUUGUUGUUAAUUGUUUCAUAUACCGGUACACUUUUAAAAAAGUU